rnacentral:snoRNA from 1 species
UUACAUGUGGUAAUGCACAUUCCUGUAGGAGCAGAAAUACAGCCUUAACAUGCUACAUUAAGAAAAAAAAUUUUCAGAAGUACCAGCCUUACACUGGCAUGUUUCUUCUAAAAAA